UGAUUGGUCAUCAUUUUGAAUCAUGAAGCUUCCUCUGCUGCUGCUCUGCUCUGUGCUGCUGCUCUCCAUCUCAGGUCUGUCUCUUUUUUAAGGUUUAUUUAUCACAUGUUUAAGCUACAGAGUCAAAACUCUUUAAUGGCCAAAGUACCAACUUGUAAAGCUCCAAACUGAUUGAACCUCAAACUGACCACAGUUACUCUGCUGUCACUGUGAUGAUUAAUCUUGGAACAGAGCUCAGAUUAAAGGCCAGUGGAAAAAAGUUUUUUGGACUUUAGGAUUCAUUAAGGGAAUUAUUCAUUCAUGGACAUGUUGAUUUAUGAUGAAUAGAGUGUAAACACAGAUUAGUGUGUUUAUUUUUGUUUGCUUUAACAUGUUUUUUGUUUUUUACAGACAGACUGUGACAUUAAUGUGUUAACUAUGAACUGUUUCUGACUAUGAUCUAAGUAUGCAUUACUGAACUCCAUUAAUCAGGACUGAAAUUCUAUCUUUAUAAGGGAAAAGGCUGUGAGAUGAAAUAGUUCCUCUUUCACAGGUUGUCAACCUCACUUCAGGUCCUUUUUACAGAGACAGAAAAGAUGCAGAGUGAUGAUCUGCUGGGUCACAUUUCUGAGCCAAACACUGUGACAUCUUCCCAUUGUUCUCUAACGAAUGUGUUUGUGUGUCUUCAGAGAUACGGACUGAUAUUAGAUUGUUUUUUUAUCCAGUUUUCUCAUAGAGGAGGCUGUGGUUUUUUCUCUCAGUCCAUGUCACCGUCUUACGGCAAUAAAACAUAGCUUUAAGCUCCACCACAGUGAGCAAUAAUCAUUGGAGGACAGUAAAGAAUUGUAUUUAGUCUCCUCAAAGAAUAAUACUACAGCGAAUACUCAAAAAUGGACUUUGCCAUGACCUACAUUAACACACAACAGGUGGAUAUUUUUUCCCACCUUAUUGUUCACAGCUUGUAACCUUAGAGCCUUGCUUCUCUUCACACACCUGACUGUUAUCUACUGUUUUAUUUAGAAAAUUAAAAAAUUAGACCGGUCCCUUUUAAAGCUUUCAAUCCCUUCUCUGACAGAAAAGCCACACCUGCCACAUUCAUCUACAGAUUAUUACUCAGAUUGGAGUCACUCUCUGUUCAACUGAAUCUGAUGUGUAAUGUGUAUACGUGCAUGCGUGCAUGUGUGUGUGUGUGUGUGUGUGUGUGUGUAGUCCUGUCUCAGGAAAAUGAGGGUCCACCUGAUGGACAAGGAGACUCUGCUGAACCCUGGGCGGUAAGACUCAGAAACACACACAUUAACACACUAAUACUCAUGCAGAGCUCAGAGGAGUGGUGUGUUUCCGUUGAUGUUAAGUUGUAAACAUGAUUUCGUCACUUCUAAACCUUCUGGGGUGAAUUUACCAAGAACAGAGUGGAGUUGCCUUUUGUACCAUGAGUUGUGCAUCAUUUGCCUCUGCUCUGAGCUCCAUCUCCACCACUCAUGUACAUUUGUGUAGUAAUUAAAGGCUACAAAUUUAUUUAUGAGAUGCGUGUGUGUGUGUGUUUUUGCGUGUGUUUUUGUGUAUGUGUUUUUGUGUUUUAUCCAGGCGCAUUGUGAGAAAUACAAAUUACCUUACUGCCAUCGGGAUUAUAACCCUGUUUGUGGUGAUGAUGGCGUAAUCUACAGUAACGAGUGUACACUCUGUUUUCACAACUUGUAAGAUGUGCACACACACACACACACACACACACGCACGCACGCACGCACGCAGGCACACACACACACACACACACACACACACACACACACACACACACACACACACACAAAUCUGCUCUUUCAAUCCUUUCUACCUGUUAAGGUAAUUCCUUGAGACAGCUGAGUUCUCAGAGUUUUUUUGUGACCACUAAUAUCUGCUCUGAGAUCAAUCUGAUGUUUUCAUCCCAUUGUCUUUGCUCUUACUGAGCUCAGAUCAAUGGAUAGCUUAGUUUGAGCAGAGAGAGCAGUGUGUUGUUAGCAUGCAGAUGGAUCACGAUGGCUGCAUCACCGAGUUUAAAGAGAUUUUAGGGUGAACAGGUUGUAUUUCUGUGAGUUGGGCUCUUUUAUGCUCUAGUGAGACUUUGUGAGAUUCUGGAUACAUGAUUUUGGCCAGUAUGCAGUAUGUCUCCAGAAAAUAAAAAGAGGCUGAGAGAGGAACCCUGAGGAACACCAUACUGAGGUUUAUCAGAGAGACAGAAAAACUCCUGUCAGAGAUAUAUUUACAGUCUAUAGCUCCCACACUCUGAUUUCUCAGACUAGUUUUAUAAUAUUCGUAUUAACUCCACACACACAUUUCAAAUGUAAAAACUAACUCCUUGAAUAUUGUUCAAGAUUUUUUUUUUGUUUUUCUACAGGGAGAAUCACGCCACUGUGAAAAUCCUGAGAGAAGGGAAAUGCGAUUAACUGCUGUGUGCCACACACAUGCACACACAUACUGAAUAAAGUCUCAUACUGAUUCCCUCACA
rnacentral:lncRNA from 1 species